CACAAGCGGUGGAGCAUGUGGUUUAAUUCGAAGCAACGCGAAGAACCUUACCAGGUCUUGACAUCUCCUGACAAUCCUAGAGAUAGGACGUUCCCCUUCGGGGGACAGGAUGACAGGUGGUGCAUGGUUGUCGUCAGCUCGUGUCGUGAGAUGUUGGGUUAAGUCCCGCAACGAGCGCAACCCUUGAUCUUAGUUGCCAGCAUUUAGUUGGGCACUCUAAGGUGACUGCCGGUGACAAACCGGAGGAAGGUGGGGAUGACGUCAAAUCAUCAUGCCCCUUAUGACCUGGGCUACACACGUGCUACAAUGGAUGGUACAAAGGGCAGCAAAACCGCGAGGUCGAGCCAAUCCCAUAAAACCAUU
rnacentral:rRNA from 1 species